UACGUAGGGGGCAAGCGUUGUCCGGAAUCAUUGGGCGUAAAGAGCGUGUAGGCGGUUCGGUAAGUCCGCUGUGAAAGUCCAGGGCUCAACCCUGGAAAGCCGGUGGAAACUGUCGAGCUAGAGUCCGGAAGAGGCGAGUGGAAUUCCUGGUGUAGCGGUGAAAUGCGCAGAUAUCAGGAGGAACACCUAUGGCGAAGGCAGCUCGCUGGGACGUGACUGACGCUGAGACGCGAAAGCGUGGGGAGCAAACAGG
rnacentral:rRNA from 1 species